GUAGGCCUGGCCAGUGUUAUUCUCCCCCACAGGCUCUGGGUCUGCCGUCUUUCACUGAUGAUUUUGUGUUUCUCCGCUUCAGUUGGAGCUCCUUCAUCUGUAAGGAGUCAUUUCUUUUUCUUCACAAUAGGAAGGAAUCUUCACAGACAUCAGUUAAACACACUGGGAGAACAACGGAGGACGGCAACAGUGUCCAUCUGACAUCAGUCACUACAGGUCUCUUCUUCCUUUUGGGCAGCAGCUGUGAAGAUGGCUGCUCCUUACUGGGUUUCUGUAGUGGUCAUUUUUUUGAUGACUGUUAGAAACGGUGAGACUGUUAUUGACCCAAACAACCUCGCACCAAUUGUAGAAGACAUUCUGAACAGGUACACACCAAGCUACGAUGGUGCAGACGACAACAGAAUUCCCCCCAUGUUCAGUGUGGCUGUGAGCGUCCCGUACAAUAAACAAACAAACAUGUAUGAUAUGAGCAAAGUCCCUGAUGAUGGUGAAGAUGUGAGGAAGACCAUUCUAAACUGUGACGUAUACAAAGGUGACAGAGUGGUGGCAGCCACAGUGCUGAGAUGGCCCAAUGUUCUAACUCAGUGCCCUGAUGCUCAAGUACAGUAGGAUGAUGUUUUGAAGGAAUGUGGUAAACAGCAGAUGACAUGGGCUGAAGUUAAGUUGUGUGGUAAAAUUAAAAUCCAGGAUCACAGAGCUGAUCAUGCAGAGUUUCGAACCCUGCAGGAUUUUCAACCUUUACUCGCAACACAAUCCAAAGAUGAUCUGAUGGUUUUCUACGUCCGUGCCUCCCCAUGUGAUCAGAGAUGUACCAAAAAAGUCAACGAUCGGAAUAUUCUCAUUAGCAUACAAGAGAUAAUGCACUGGAAGGAUUAUGUUGUUGUGUUUUCAGAUGUAUUUAGACCUCGUGAUGGUGGGCAAAUACUUGUGAAUAACCCGCGUGGAUCACUUGAGAGGCUUGGGAAGGCAAUCGGAGAUCCAGGGUCAAAUGGUCUUCAGCAUAUAUUCCGAUGCUACAGGCAGCAAGAAAUGGAUGAAAAUGAAAUGGAGUGCUUUAGCUGCAAUAACAAUGGUAAGGUUGCACUUAGAUGUAUUUUAGGUUAGGUUACCGACCUAAAAAAGCAAACUAUCUGAUGUUUGGAAAAGUUAGGAUAGUGGGGAGAAAGAGAAUAAGAGCAAGAAGAAGCAGAGGAGUAACAGAACAUGGGGCUGAAUGCAGAGAGGAGGAGUAAUGAGAGAAAAUCAUCAGAAUUAACCAGAGAGGGAAAAAGAAAAACAGAAAAUGUAAUCCGUGCUUUGCAUCGUUUUCCUGCAUCCAUGAUUAACUUUAAAUGUGUGUGUACGUCACAGCAAGAUUAACAUGUGCUCCUGAAAUCACAGCUGCAUCGUGCACUCUGGUCAUUCUAGUCCACGAUACUGUCUGUGCCUCUGAUUGUGUCUGUGAACUGAAACACAAACAGUGUGUGUGGAGCGAGUGUAAUCCAUUUAUAGCCUCUGAUACUGUUUCUGAUUAAAGCUUAAUAAACUGCAUUAAAACUGUU